rnacentral:lncRNA from 1 species
AAGUUACAAACAUAAUACUUUUGCAUUAUCAUACAAGAUAAAACAACACGAGGACGUACAUUACACAGGUGACGAUUUAUUGGAAAAAAUACAACUUUUUAAUAGCCUUACUAGAGCACCAUAUAUGCUGUGCCAUUACUACCAGGACCAGGACCAUCGACUUUUCCACGCCAGGUCUGGAAUACAUGGAUUCGAGUCAGAUCAGCACCUUCAUCAGGAAGAAAUGGAGAUGACAUCUCUAACAUCAGCGGCCUGCGGUCUAAAACUUCCUUUACAUGGAUAAUCACAGGAAAAAUCAUCGUUUUCCUAUGGGUAGGCGAUGAUGUUGGGACAAACCCACCGGCGACCCAAACGCCGGACGAAGGUAGAUGAAGGAGACACCAUGAUUUUUCCGGUGACGAACGUCGCGGCGCACCAACGCCUGUAUCUUGGCUUUAUUUCUCACAACGACUCGAACACAUACAUGAGGUACACACGCACGCACGCGGCACAACCCGAAAGAACUCUCACGUCGACCGGGCACACACCACGGUCCCGACGGAGACUACAUCUUCUAGACCCCUCACACUUGGCUCGACACACCCCGUUGCUCGGCAACACACCGGAGCACGGCUACACACACCGGCGCCCUACAUCAAUACAUGGAGAGGGGUUUUUAUACCCAGGCUAGCACACACAAGUUAGCCUCCACGCCCACCACUUGCCGAGGUACGUACUAACUGGCCACCACAUUAGGCCACUAACUAACCCAUGCACACACAUGCACUAACUAACUUUGACUCCACCUUUUCUGGACUAACCAGAUCAUCACGGAACGAGCAAACCAGCCAGCUUUGUAGCCAUCGGCACCGCAGCGCCUGCACCCACCUCGCGCACGUACGCCAGCGACUCGGUCUUGAGCGAAAGUGAGCCGUUGCUCACCCGCGACCUGGAACUGCACGCCUCAUCAUGAUCUUGCAUGCUCGGUCGCCACCGUGCGCAGACAUGGUUUAUUAUCAACAUUCACCCCCUAAGCCAUGACCUCGCUGCAUGACGGGCUCGUCGUCGACGGAGUUGCCGCUGCUUUCGCCAUGGUCGUCGUCACGGCCGUAGCGCUCCGCAGCCGCAAUCCUCUUCCUCGGCGACACAAGCCGAGCUACUUCUUCGCCGGCGACAUACGCCUGGCGUUCCGGCGACUUACGCCGUUGAUGUCGUCGCGCCCGAACGCGAGCCUUCUUGGACGCUGCUUCAUGGCGUCGUACCGCACCGUUGCUGCCUCCGCCGCCAUACAACAUCUCCAUGCCACCACCUCGCAUGCAGCACCUUCACGGCCACCGUGCUCACCACGGACUCAUCAUGUGCCACCCCGUGUCCGCCAUGGCAGCCGCAGCGCCACACACCUCCAUAAGCCGAUACACGGCCCGGAGCUCCGCGCAGCCGUUGACGAAUGCCGUCAUCGCCCGUACGCCUCCAGCAUGACGAACCGCGCCCAAGUCAACCAAGCUCAUGAUACCAAAUGUUGGGACAAACCCACCGGCGACCCAAACGCCGGACGAAGGUAGAUGAAGGAGACACCAUGAUUUUUCCGGCGAUGAACGUCGCGGCGCACCAACGCCUGUAUCUUGGCUUUAUUAAUCACAACCACUCGAACACAUACAUGAGGUACACACGCACGCACGCGGCACAACCCGGAAGAACUCUCACGUCGACCGGGCACACACCACGGUCCCGACGGAGACUACAUCUUCUAGACCCCUCACACUUGGCUCGACACACCCCGUUGCUCGGCAACACACCGGAGCACGGCUACACAC